CAAUAGGGAAUGGUCACAGUUUUUACCGCUCCUACUCGAGCUUUGUAAAUGUGAACGAACAUGUUUCACAGCUGUAAGAUUACUCUUCAUGUUAUAAGUAUGGCGAACUGUAAGCAAGUUGCGUUGAAUUCACAGUGUUGCCAGAGCCGUUUUACAAUGUUCCGCCAGAUGGACUCUGAAAAUCCGCUAAAAUCCGCUAAAUUUUCGAUGUAAUCAGAAUUCGCUAGAUUUUCCGCCAAAAUUUUGAGAAAUUCGAAGAUGGAAUCAAUAAAAUCCUUGAAAUUUUUCAAAAUUUAUGUAUAAAAGAGCGAAAAAAACGGAUGAAAGAAGAAUAAAAGCAAUCCGCCAGGAUAUCCGCUAGCCGCUAAAACUGAAAAUGUCAGCGGAUUCCUCUCAUUAAAAACGCUAGGAACGGCGGAAAAUUUGCUGAAAUGGCAACCCUGCAAUGAAUUGUGAUGGCUUUAUUUUUUGCGAUUUUUCAAAGCAGCAAGAACAUUCUUAUUACUUCGUUCAUUUACCUACCUAUAGACCUACUUAGGUAUGUAGUAUUUGUUUAGAAAUACAUCAAACUUGAAUAAAUAAUAUUUACAUGCAA